rnacentral:rRNA from 1 species
CCUACGGGAGGCAGCAGUGGGGAAUAUUGGACAAUGGGGGCAACCCUGAUCCAGCCAUGCCGCGUGUGUGAAGAAGGCCCUCGGGUUGUAAAGCACUUUCAGUGAGGAAGAACGCCUGGUGGUUAAUACCCAUCAGGAAAGACAUCACUCACAGAAGAAGCACCGGCUAACUCCGUGCCAGCAGCCGCGGUAAUACGGAGGGUGCGAGCGUUAAUCGGAAUUACUGGGCGUAAAGCGCGCGUAGGUGGCUUGAUAAGCCGGUUGUGAAAGCCCCGGGCUCAACCUGGGAACGGCAUCCGGAACUGUCAAGCUAGAGUGCAGGAGAGGGAGGUAGAAUUCCAGGUGUAGCGGUGAAAUGCGUAGAGAUCGGGAGGAAUACCAGUGGCGAAGGCGGCCUUCUGGACUGACACUGACACUGAGGUGCGAAAGCGUGGGUAGCAAACAGGAUUAGAUACCCGAGUAGUC